GUUAACAACUUGUAACAAGCUUGAUGGCAUAUCAGACUUGUUACAAGGUUGUUCUAACUAGUCUAACACAGUCAUGACGUAACAAGAAUGCUACAAAGUUGAUAACACAAGGUUGUAACAAUAUUAUUAUAGCAUGCCCGUUAUAUCAUACCCGACUUGUUGGAACAACCUUGCAACAAGUCUGAUAAUAUCAACAAGGUUGUUGCAAGUUGUUAGC
rnacentral:miRNA from 1 species